AAAACAGUCACGUGCUUCAACCGGGAGAGCCAGUGAACGAAUGAGUCGUCUAAUUUUUGUUUAAAACACCGUUUACAAACAAAAUAGGCUACCACUAACGUUACACCCGAGCAGCUGAGAUGAAUAGAAAUUCUAACCGAUAACUCACUCCAGGUAGAACCGCUCGAUACACGGAGUUUACCAUCUCCACCGUUGUAGGAAUCGCUCUGGCAGGUCACGUGAUCUCGCUGCCAGUCAGGGAAAUGUUGGACUGCUUUGGCUUCAUCCAGUCGAGUGUUACGCGUCAGUGGAGUGGAGAGCGAGAGAGCUGAAUACCACAAUCAUGGCAACCACAGCAGCAGAAACCGAAACCCGCCAGAGACUGCUGCGAAACGUGAAGAAGGAGACAUGUGACGGUGUAAUCCAAGGAUGAUGGUUAAUACAUGUAAAUAGAAGAACAAGGCCACCAACAGAGAUGGAGAGGAAACAUGGGAGAAGGUGAAGAGUGCGGGGGAGGAAAGGGACCUA
rnacentral:lncRNA from 1 species